UUCAUUUCUGUCCAGGAUGUGGUUUCACCGACCUUUAAGAGCUGACGACUGGCUGUUAUUUGUAAUACAAUCACCUACUGCCUACAAUGCUCGCGGUUUCGUUUCGGGUGAAAUGUUCAACCAAAAGGGCGAGCUUGUCGUGUCGUUGACUCAAGAAGGGCUGCUUCGGAAGGCGAGAUUGCCAGAACCCGCACCGACCUCGAAGUUAUGAAGUGUGUCAUCGAAUGUGGUAGCCUUCAAUCUAUACACUAAUCUACUUAUCUAUAUCAAUUUUGAAGUCCCAACUUUGUGGAUCAGCCAUGGAUGGUAGGUGGAUAAAAGAAGUUCGUAGAAGCCAUAAAUUUCUCUUUUCAUAAUAAUUUUCCCAUUGUGUGUUUUUCUAAAACCAUUCUAAUAAUUCAUAAUAAUUUUAGAGAAGUAUAGACAGAAGAUCAAAGUUAUGGUAUUUCGUGUUUAUGUGAUGAUGUAAUAGUGUGUC